CAUUUUCAGUGACAGAGAACCAGAAUAAGAUUUGUAGGGAAACAAGCCUUGUUACAAGGUUUGAGGGUCUCUGCUAGAAUCAUGUGGACCCCAGUGUAACAAAUCUAUGGAAAGAGAGAAAAUCUCAGCUCAAGGGUCAACAUGUCUUUAUUCCAAGAAAGAGUGUACAUAUGCCAGAAUCAUAUGGACCGCAGACUGGCCCUGGUGAUUCCGUUAAGAAAAAAGAGGAAAAAUCAGUGCUUGUGCUCAUUGGUCAUUGGACAAAGGGUGUAUGCCAGAAUUUUUUCAAGAACAGUCUGAAUCUGACAUGGAAAAAAUUAAGAAAAACAGCCUUCCUGUUUAUAAAUCUACAUUCUGACAAAGGGUAAGAAAGAAAUUCAGGAGUUCUUAAAUUGCCCUUGGAGUUCUUGGAUUGCAUCAAACUGCUAAAAGACCUCAACAAAAACAGCGUCUUGAAAAUAAAAAUGAAAAUAUUCAGUGAAAAAAAAAAAUGAUGAAAGAGCCACUAAAAAUCUUCAAGCCUUUGAGCUGAAAUCUGGAAGUCAAUCUGUGGACUUUACUAGUAAGUCAUAAUUACUAAGUCAUCAUUUGUGUAUAAUAAAUACACUAAACUGUAAACACUUGUUAAAAUGUGUAUAAUUUUUAGAUAUAAUUUGUAUCUCAUAGACUUCAAUAGUUUCAUGUAAUUUAAGUAAUAAUGAAAAUUUCCUGUUGUCUAGCUAGAUUAGAAACUAUUAUUGUCCAAUUUUGGAUAUUGUGAAAUAAUUCAUCUAGUAUGCAUACAUGUGUGUACACUUACGUGUAAAUUAAUUGUUAUAGCAAAUUCAAUCGAUCAUUAAGUUGAAUGUUGACUAAUGUUUUUCAUCAAAAUUGUUUACACUGAAUUGUUUGUGGAUUUUUCCAUUUGCCCAAUCAUGUCAAGGAGCACAUGGCAGAAAAUGCUUUCUCCUCCAUUGCACCUGGUGUUUUUAGAGUCUGUUUGCUCUGCUCUAAUUAUGUAUUGUUUCAAUGGACUUUAAAGCUUGAUCACUGUUGGUAAUCUUCAUAUUUCAUAUACUAUUAGAGUACUUGAA